GAUGAAGAACGUAGCGAAAUGCGAUACUUGGUGUGAAUUGCAGAAUCCCGUGAACCAUCGAGUCUUUGAACGCAAGUUGCGCCCGAAGCCAUUAGGCCGAGGGCACGCCUGCCUGGGCGUCACACGUCGUUGCCCCCCCAUCUACUCCUUCGGGAUUGCGGGGGGCGGAUGAUGGCCUCUCGUGCGCCUCGUCGCGCGGUUGGCCUAAAUGCCAAGUCCUCGGCGACGCACGCCGCGACAAUCGGUGGUUGCGAAACCUCGGUUGCCUGUCGUGUGCGGUCGUCGCGCAUCGAGGGCUCGAAAAAAUUGCCGGGCUUCGGCUCGACUUUCAACGCGACCCCAGGUCAGGCGGGGUUACCCGCUGAAUUUAAGCAUAUCAAUAAGCGGAGGA
rnacentral:misc_RNA from 1 species